rnacentral:rRNA from 1 species
UGAGCAAUCUGCCCUUCUCAUCGGAAUAAGCGUUGGAAACGACGUCUAAUGCCGAAUACGACCUUCC